UUUAUGGUCUACUACCCUGAAUGCACCCAAUCUCAUCUGAUCUCAGAAGCUAAGCAGGGUCAGGCCUGGUUAGUACCUGGAUGGGAGAGUGAACUCAUUGACCACUGGUGAUCAUGAGG
rnacentral:rRNA from 1 species